AAAUUCAGUCUGCUAUAAAUUCAGUACAGAAUGGGGAGGAUGUACAAGAAUGAGGAAGACCCAGGGAGAGGGAAUUCACAGUUCACUCAAAAUGCAAUCAAGGUGGCUAUUCUUUUAAACAUUUACAACAGCUUUGACACUUCUUCUUUGGUUUUUGGAUAGAGCGUCUUGUGAUGGGCUUGUUCAUUUUUCAGGGUUAGAAUUGUCUAGGCCAGAAUAUCCGGGAGCCUCCUGUCUCUGCACUGGGCACAAUGCAAGAACAUCUGGGCAGCCCUACUCUGGAAUCUCCACAAAGGCAGAGACCCAUAGGAUUUAUUCCCACUGGUUCCCAGCCCCCAGCACAGUGCCUGACCUACAGGAGUUGCUCAGCAAUUGUUGGUUGAAUGAUUGAAGGAAGAAAAAAUGAGUGAUAGGGUUUGGAUUUGUGUCCCCACCAAAUCUCUUGUCAAACCGUAGUCCCUAGUGUUGGAGGUGGGGCCUGGCGGGAGGUGGUUUGAUCAUGGGGGUGGAUUUCUCAUGAAUAGUUUAGCACUACCCUCUUGGUAUUGUUCUCGUGGUACUGAGUUCUCUCAAAAUCUGGUGUUUAAAAGUGUGAAGCAUCUCCCCUCUCACUCUCUCUUGCUCCUGCUCCUGCUAUGUAAGACACCUGUUCCCCUUUGCUUUCUGCCAUGAUUGGAAGCUUCCUGAGGCCUCCCCAGAAGCAGAAGCCACUAUGCUCACUGUACAGCCUGCAGAACCGUGAGCCAAGUAAACCUCUUUUCUUUGUAAAUGACCCAGUCUCAGGUAUUUCUUUAUAGCAGUGCAGGAAAGGACUAAUACAAUGAGUUUAUGGACAGAAAAAUU
rnacentral:lncRNA from 1 species